GUGAUUAAUUCCUUGUUGACCUACUCAUAACCUUCGUACACAAUCCACCAUAUCCAGAAGGCCUCGUACAUAACUUAUUGUCAUGAAUGAGUGUAAACCAAAACAUGGGUUCAUGUACACAAGAUACCAUGGUGAUCUCAGGUCAUAGGAUCAGUUGCACAACUCCCACUAAGAGAAUCAUCUUUUGACAUGUAAGUAAGACUUCAUAAGAUUUCUCUUUGUAGGUCAAUUCAGUGAACUCAUU
rnacentral:lncRNA from 1 species